rnacentral:rRNA from 1 species
ACGAACGCUGGCGGCGUGCUUCACACCUGCAAGUCGAACGGAAAGGCCCUGCUUUUGUGGGGUGCUCGAGUGGCGAACGGGUGAGUAACACGUGAGUAACCUGCCCUUGACUUUGGGAUAACUUCAGGAAACUGGGGCUAAUACCGGAUAGGAGCUCCUGCUGCAUGGUGGGGGUUGGAAAGUUUCGGCGGUUGGGGAUGGACUCGCGGCUUAUCAGCUUGUUGGUGGGGUAGUGGCUUACCAAGGCUUUGACGGGUAGCCGGCCUGAGAGGGUGACCGGCCACAUUGGGACUGAGAUACGGCCCAGACUCGUACGGGAGGCAGCAGGGGGGAAUAUUGCACAAUGGGCGGAAGCCUGAUGCAGCAACGCCGCGUGCGGGAUGACGGCCUUCGGGUUGUAAACCGCUUUCGCCUGUGACGAAGCGUGAGUGACGGUAAUGGGUAAAGAAGCACCGGCUAACUACGUG